GAAGGGUGUUAUUUUUUCAGAUGUUCAGCCCACAAGAGCUUACUGGUGAAGGAAUGGGACAAGACCCAUCUUUAUGCAAAGCCAGCGUUACAGUAAUGUUCCAGGAGCAGCUUGUUGCUAUAUACCAUUGAAAAGCCUUCAGAGCUGAGAGGUACUACUAACCAAUAACCUGCUUGGCUCAAAGGGCCAGCACCUUCUCUCUAAAGCCCAAGAGGAGUUUGAGGAAAACUAGGUGUCUGUGUUCACUCCAGGCUGAAGUUACAGGUCUGAGCAAAUAAGGUGUAUAAAAAAUGGAAUCUGUCUUGGAGGACAUCAGAAGGUGAAUUUUCCAAGUUCUUGGACAACCUAGCUGUUGAAAAGCUUUCUGGGUUUGGGGGGUAUUUCAGAUGUACCUUAAAGUGUUAGCAGACACAGAUUAAGACACUGGGAGCCAAUGAAACAGCAGUUGAGGGUUUGCUGUGUAUCACAUUUCUGUAUUUUAUCACCCCCUUCCUGCAACAUUAUUUAUCUGGAAUCUACCUGCCCUUUUGUUUUUUAGAUACAAGGGCUUGGUUUUGUUACCCAGGCUGGUUUCAAGGCCAUAGCUUUAAGAGAUCCUCUCACCACAGAUUUCCAAAGUGCUGGGAUUGCAGGUGUGAUUCAUGGCACCCAGACUUUGCUGCCUUUCUUACAUGAUCCAGGCCCAGAACCCAAACUCAGGCACUGUAUAGAUGACCACUUUCGUAAACUACUGACCUAGCUUGUUGCCAAUUGUUGAUUGAACUUCCCAUAACUCCACUUCGUGUCUGUUCCUCUGUAUACAGCCACCUUCUGUUCCCGUCAUGAGCCUUUAGGUCUCCAUUUGCAUAUUGCAAAUACUAUGUUCCAUGUAGGUAGCUCAUUCAGGGCCUUGCUCUUCACUUCAAAAAAGGUUCCCUUGAGGACUGGCUGUCAAUUUGUGUUGCUGUGUUGGUUG
rnacentral:lncRNA from 1 species